CCAGCAGAUGGAUCCAAAUCUGAAGCGUAUCAAUCCAUGUCCUUCUCCCCCAUCCCUAAAGCGUAUCGAUGUCCUUCUCCCCCAAAUCGAUUCAGCCAUAUCAGAGGUCUGGAAGCGGUCGUAGGCGACAACAAUUUGGUAGCUCCCCCAAUUUCGAAGCAGUGUCUCUACCCAUUGCUGCCUAUCUCUAUCAUUCAAUUCAAUCUCAGUCCAUCGCAGCCAAUUGUGUGACCUGAUUGGAAUUGGGUUAUAGAUACAUCCCACUGAUCUUGGUUACUCUCCACCCGUACCCAUGAAGACAAAAAGAGGGUUUCUCUACUAAUGGCGGCUGCAACCUUUCAAGUGGCUGCAGUUGGUCCUCUCAUUGAUCUGGCCAUUACCCAAGUUUUUAAUUUACUGCUGUUGUAGGUGUGGACUGUGUUGAUAGAAGGUGAGUCUCACCUUCCUGCAUCAGAGCCAUUAAUGGUGUAUAAGAGCUUAGUUGAGCAAGGGAAGCUGCAACAUGAUCCGAAUCAAGAAGUCAUGGAUUCUCAAUUGGAAUACUUGCUCCGAGGCAAGUCAUCCCAAUUGAGAAUGCGAUGGAGGAUUUUAAUGGAGGAAGCUGAGAAUAAGCAGAAGGAUGACAUGUGGACAUCAGUGAACAACCAAAGGAAUAAGCUUUUCCAGAGAUGGAUAUGCAAGUAUGCUAUUGAUUUGUUUUAAUUGAGGUGAGAAAAGGAAUCUAGAAGAUAAUUAUCUCAGUUCUUGAUUGUGCUCAUCGCCUACGUAAGUGUGGCUCCUUCAAAUGGAUUAAGAGACUGCAGUGAAAAUUCUCCCUCCGCCUCUUCAAAUCCCUAAUUCCAUCUCUGAUCUUGAAAAUUUCCUGAUUUGAAUUUUCUGUGGAUUUUUUGUAGCGGACGCUGCUGUGAAGAAGAAGGUUGAGUAGAUAAUGCCCAUUGCCACCGGCCACGAGCUAGAGGAGCUUGCAGCUGAAGUUGAGUCUUUGAUUUGCAUUUUUCAACUUUCUAAGGGAAAGAAUAUUCUGGAAAUUGACCAUCCCGAAGGUCCUUUCGGCACAAAGGUUAGUGUGUUAUGAAAUUUUAGUAAAAUUAGACUCCGUAGUUUAUUAUUGCAGAAUGGUUCAAAAAUUGGUUUAUCUAGCUUUCUGCUAUGUAAUCUGAGGGUGAGUUAGAAUUGUAUAAUGUGAAAAGAUGAUCAAAUUUGUUAGUGAGUUUUCUCAUAUAUUAAGAGAUAUUGUUCUUUUAAGUUUAUGGUGUUAUAAUUUGCACUUGUUGUACGGUGUACUGGCCUUCUUAGUGAUGUUGUUGUUGAAGUUGGAGAAAUGUGAUUCCAUCUUCACAAGGUAUGUUUUGUUUCUUUCAUGUUUCCAUUUACAUUAUUUUGACAGGUAUAUUUUUGUCACAUGUAGUUACUCGUUAUAUAGAUUGGAAUAACUUUUUAACUUCAAAUACAGUUUACUAAGAAAAUGAUCUCAAAUUUUAUAUACACGAUGUUAUAAUGGUAGUUGACUUUAAACUUUUAUUGGGUUCCCAAGUUAACACGUUAAUUGUCUUCGAUGCAGUUUCAUUUGCUCUCUCUUAGCUAGUGAUGGGAACUAUUCUUGGACAAGGGGGAAAAUCUUAGUGAUAUUUCACCUCCAACAAUAAUUUAUUCUGGAAAACAGCCUUGUUUUUUGUAAUCCAAGAAUUUACUUUGGUAUGAAAUGUAUUUUGCUAGGAAUGUAAAGAACAUCUUGCUAUGAAUGUAAAGUUUGAAUAUUUUCGAUUGAGUUGUGGAUUUGUUCACUUUAUUGUAACUAUUUGAAGUAUAUUUAUUGUAGAGAAAUAAAAGUAUUACUAUGUUCAGGUUGCAAA